GUCCAUACCCAGCUUGAAGAGACGACAAUACGGCCAAAUUCAACUAGUAUGAAUGUGGCCCAGCCUGUCUUGGUACACAAGAGUUCCCCCCAUUGGGAACCUGAGCUUGGAAAGAGGUGUUACCAUCACCUUUCUGUUUUUACAGUCAGACAUGGGAAGGAAUCAGAUGGGCAACUGCAAGGGAGGCACCUCUGGCCCUUCAACCUCGGGAAAUUUACAAACCCCUGCAGCCCAGCAUCCAACACACAGGCACCUUCUUCUCUCUCCUCUGCCGGGGCAAAGGGGGCGAUGAGCCGAAGAAACACCCCCGCUGCCUCUGGCGUAAAGGAGAAAGCACAGCGCUCUUCUGUCUGCCUUUCCCGCUUCCUCUCGCCCAUCCCAGGCCGUAGCCACCCGAGUGACCCGGGGGCAACCUCCUGCCCAGAUUUGUUCCCUUGUCCCGAGGCAAAAAGAGGGCGCAAGGAGGUACAAAGGAAACCCUAGAAACGUCCGAGACAGCAGCAUCCCUCGGAUGCGGGAGACAGCAGCACUGGGGAGGGUUAAUGGAGCAGCAAGCCGCGAGGGGAGGGGGGCGCAUUGAAUGAAAAAGGACCUCAGCGAGGGCCGAAGAGCGCCCCAGUGGGGGAUGCUGAAGGGAGGGAGCAAGGAGCAGCAGCAGCAGCCCUGGUGUCUAUUGACUGGAGCGGGAACCCGGGAACGGUGGGCGUGAACUGGGGAAGGAGAGCCGCGCUCCGGGGGGCUCCAUACAGGCAAGGGGGUCCAGGCUUUCAGAGUUUGGAGGAACAACUUCAAGAGGGACAAGAUGCAACGGGAAAGUGUAAGAACACAAUGGAGAGAGAAUAGGAAGACAGCUGUGAUAUGAAACAGAAGAACUCUCAGGAAUCCCUAGAACCAAAACUCCAGAAACAAAGACUGAAUGAAUCCUUGGACUCAACUCAGAGGAAGAAAACUCUUUUAAGAGAGCUGUGUAAUAAUUUAAACACUCUGUACUGAAAGGAUACUCUCAGAAUAAAAUGUAUUUCUUAAAAACUAUGGCCACAUCAAUAUCAUUAACAAUACCCCAGGCUGUAUGUCAUCAAAGUGAAAAAAAUUAAAAACAGCAUUGUCCUUUGAAAAAGUUCCUCUCGAGAUCCACAGCUGAAGUUUGCAUCUCAGGCUCAUCAAUACUUGUUGCACCUGCUAGGCUUGGAAACUGUAAUUCAACUGCUCAGUUUCCCUUCCCAUUUCCCCAUAUUAUUUACAAUCAAGACUGGGAACCCAUUGUGAAAAAACAUAGUACAAGAGUUAACAAUCUUAUCUAAGAUGAAACAGAUAUAGAGUGGGAGAAAGGAAGUAUUAUGAUCCCCAUUUAACAGAUGGGAAACAGACAGAGAUCUGCAUGAACCAGAUCAGAAAACAUAUUUAGGUGUCUAACUCUCACUAAUUUCAGUGAUUUGCCUAACGACACAAAAAGUCUGUAGCAGAUCCAGGAAGUGAACUAAGAUCUGAGUCCCAGUCAAAUGCCUUAUUCAUAAGGCCCUACUUCAUUUGUGAUAAUGCAGAAAUUGUGGAUGCCGUAAUGUUAGGCUUCCACCACAAUUUUGAUUUUUAUUAGCUUACUUUGCACAGUCCACAAUUUUGCAUACGUUUUGUGGUUUGCAACACACACUUUUCCCCCGUUAGUACAUUAAAUGAUCUUGGAGAGUUUUGGGAUUCACCUGCAAUUCUACAGUGUCUUCCAGAGUUAGAAUAGACAGCAAAGCAGUAUCAAUCUAGUCUAAUUCUGUGGAUGCCAAUCCUGCAGUAUCUCAGUAUGGACGAGUAUUCGCAAAGCAAAAACAGGGCAUGAACAAGACAAUUGUAGCGAAGUGUACUGCACAUUGAAUGCAUGUAAAAUGCAAAUGGCUAAAGUGACUGAACUUAAUUUCAACAGCAAUUGUGUUAAGAUAUUUAGUAUUCUGAAUUUUUUACUGUACCAGUCACUUUUUAAAAAAUGAAUGUAAUAUAGUUGAACCAAAUUAUCUGGUUAUCAAAAAUAUUAUCAGGCAUAACAUAAUAGUUGAGUGUUUAUAUCGU